CUCAUUAAAUCAGUUGUGGUCUAUGUGGGCGACAGUUUUCCUAGUUGGAUAACUGUGGAAAAUCCAGAGCUAAUACAUGCCAUUGACAAGUCCUCAGUUAACGCUUUCGGGUUACUAACUGGGGAUGCUUUUAUUAGACCGAGGCGCGCGCACCGUUAGUUUAGCGCCCUUUGGCCUUCGGGUCGUUGGGAAUGCGGCUGAUUGUGUGUCGCACGUAAGCGCUUAAAGGUGACUCUGGAUAACAUUGAUAAGCGUGCUUUAAGUAGCACGCUGCCUACAUACGAGUGACUGUCCUAUCAGCUACUAACGUAUGUUAUACGCUUACGUUGGCGAUGACGGGUAACGGGGAAUCAGAGUUCGAUUCCGGAGAGGCAGCCUGAGAAACGGCUACCACGUCUAAGGACGGCAGCAGGCACGCAAAUUACCCAAUCCCAGCACCUGGGGGAGGUAGUGACGAUGUUUACUGAUGUGGGUCGUCCUUCGGGAUACUCACAAUCGGAAUGGCUAUUUUCUAAAAACCCUAUCGAGAACCUACUGGAGGGCAAGCCUGGUGCCAGCAGCCGCGGUAAUUCCAGCUCCAGAGGCGUAUGCCAAUGUUGCUGCGGUUAAAAGGCUCGCAGUUGAAUGUCGGUUAAUAUACGCGUAGAGGUGCCGGGACGUUGCGAACUUCGAGUAGCCUUCGUGUUCUCGUUGUGAGCCGUCUCUCCAAGUGCAUCUCUCGUGGGCUAACGAUUCGAUUAGCGUCUUAGUGUCGGGGCUCUAUGUUCCUUCACAGCGGGCGUUAGUUGACACCUUGAGUAAAUCAGAGUGCUUCAAGCAGUCGUUGUUAACACUUCGGCUGCGUCUGGGUUUCGGCCCGAGGCGUAUGUCUAUGGUGACUCGUUUCGGCGAGUUUGGACAUUGUCUUUGCUUUGCAUGGUACGUCGAAAGACGCCGUAUGAGUUGGUUGCGCUUACGCCUCGUCGACACACCUCGUGUGUGCGCGUGCACCAAUAAGUACGGAAUGAUAUGAUAGGGAUGGAUCGAAGGCAUUGGUAUUGCGGGGCGAGAGGUGAAAUUCUAUGACCCCCGCAAGACUACCUGAAGCGAAAGCGUCUGCCUAGGACGUCUUCAUUAAUCAUGAACGAAAGUUGAAGGAUCGAAGGCGAUCAGAUACCGCCCUAGUUGCAACUGUAAACGAUAUCAACCAUCAAUCCGUCAAAGCGUUCCCUUGAGCUUUCGGCGUAUACUUUAACCGGUUGCGUCGGGGGCAAAGUGUAAGCGCUUGAUGGGCAGCUCUUUUUGGACGGGAAACCAGAGUUUUUCGGUUCCGGGGGGAGUCUGGUUGCAAAGCUGAAACUUAAAGGAAUUGACGGAAAGGCACCACCAGGCGUGGAGCUUGCGGCUCAAUUUGACUCAACACGGGAAAUCUCACCAGACCCGAACGUCUUUUGUGAUUGACAGACUGAAAGCUUUUUCUUGAUAAAGUGGAUGGUGGUGCAUGGCCGUUCUUAGUUGGUGGAGUGAUCUGUCUGGUUAAUUCCGAUAACGAACGAGACUCUCUCCUGCUAACGGACCUCGGUGUCUUUCUAGACGGUGUGAUUCGGUUAAAGUCGGCAUGGACGUAAGUCUCGUCGACGGACGAUGUCCACUGAUCCUUGGUGCGUUCGCCUUCGGGUAGUUGUUGCGGGUUCUGCCUGCGACGGCGCUCGUUGGUGGGCAAAGCGCCUCGGAGUACGUAUCUUCUUAGAGGGAUUGACGGCUUAUAAGUCGUAAGAAACAGAGAGCAAUAACAGGUCUGUGAUGCCCUUAGAUGUUCUGGGCUGCACGCGUGUUACAAUGCCGGUAUCAACGGGUCGUUACACUCUUCAGUGGCCUACUCUGAAAGGAGCGGGUAAACCUUUGAAAUACCUUCUGCAUCUGUCUCACGAUAGUGCAACUACGGCAUGCUUGGGACUGGGGAUUGCAAUUAUUCCCCACUAACUAGGAAUGCCUUGUAGUGGCGGGUCACAUAGCCCGCUGCGAAUCUGUCCCUGCCCUUUGUACACACCGCCCGUCGCUACUACCGAUUGAGUGUACCAGUGAGAUUUUUGGACUGGCGAACUGUUGCUUCACGGCAACGGCGAACGACAAGAAGAGACUCGAACUGGUGCACUUAGAGGAAGUAAAAGUCGUAACAAGGUUUCCGU
rnacentral:rRNA from 1 species